UUGUCAAAAUUUUAUUGAUUGGUGGGUUAUUUAAUUAGCCACUGCAGUAGGCGGGUUUUCGUGGAUCAGCCUAUUAGAGGGGCGCGGUAAACCCUGUUAUAUUUACCUUAGUAGGAGAGGUGCGAAGGAUAUCUCCUAAGGUACGAUAGAGUUCAUUUCACGCCGAACCACCACUUGAGGAUGAACUCUGUCAACGCUAAGGGAUGGUUAAACUAUGUUUUUAUAAGUAGUUGUUAACUUAAUAACUUUGGCGGACUCGAUUGAAUGCCUCGGCCAAUGUAUCACCGAGUAUGAUUUUUGACAUGAGCCAAGUUUUGAAGAAAAUCAUAAGUCGUGAUGUGCAUAUUAUAAUGAAAUGUGU
rnacentral:lncRNA from 1 species